CAGCAGCCGCGGUAAUACGUAGGGUGCGAGCGUUAAUCGGAAUUACUGGGCGUAAAGCGUGCGCAGGCGGCUUUGCAAGACAGAGGUGAAAUCCCCGGGCUCAACCUGGGAACUGCCUUUGUGACUGCAAGGCUAGAGUACGGCAGAGGGGGAUGGAAUUCCGCGUGUAGCAGUGAAAUGCGUAGAUAUGCGGAGGAACACCGAUAGCGAAGGCAAUCCCCUGGGCCUGUACUGACGCUCAUGCACGAAAGCGUGGGGAGCAAACAGGAUUAGAUACCCUGGUAGUCCACGCCCUAAACGAUGUCAACUGGUUGUUGGACGGCUUGCUGUUCAGUAACGAAGCUAACGCGUGAAGUUGACCGCCUGGGGAGUACGGCCGCAAGGUUGAAACUCAAAGAAAUUGACGG
rnacentral:rRNA from 1 species